AAUUAUCGUCUGCUAAACAAAACUUUGACGACAGACGACAUCAAUGAAACUCGAAGAAGAAUGUAAAGAAAAUUUAGAUUUCAGAGAACCAAAAUAACAUUAACAGUGAAAAGAAGAAAUUUGUCAGAACCAUUGCAUUACCAACUUCAUUGGUUAUUUGGGUUUUCCACCAAAAAUCUUGGCAGACACAUCUAAAGUUGGAUAAAGUUUAAAGAGACACAUUUUGUAUCAACAUUACUCACAAACUGCAGGCUAAUCCCUGUAUGCUGCUAGAGUGAACUGAUGGAUGACCAUGCUGACACAGCCAUAACUGGGAAGGCAGAACGAAGAAGCCGACACAUUCCUAGCUCUCCAGCUUAACGUUUUACCAGUGGCAGCCAUCAGCCAAACCUGGGCUAUAAAUGAUGUCCGAAGUUUCUCUGACUGAUCGU
rnacentral:lncRNA from 1 species